rnacentral:rRNA from 1 species
CCUACGUGGGGCAGCAGUGGGGAAUAUUGGGCAAUGGGCGCAAGCCUGACCCAGCAACGCCGCGUGAAGGAAGAAGGCUUUCGGGUUGUAAACUUCUUUUCUCAGGGACGAAGAAAGUGACGGUACAUGAGGAAUAAGCCACGGCUAACUACGUGCCAGCAGCCGCGGUAAUAAGUAGGUGGAAAGCGUUAUCCGGAUUUAUUGGGUGUAAAGGCCGUGUAGGUGGGAGCGCAAGUCAGAUGUGAAAACUCAGGGCUCAACCCUGAGCAUGCAUUUGAAACUGUGUUUCUUGAGUGCUGGAGAGGCAAUCGGAAUUCCGGGUGUAGCGGUGAAAUGCGUAGAUAUACGGAGGAACACCAGUGGCGAAGGCGGAUUGCUGGACAGUAACUGACGCUGAGGCGCGAAAGCGUGGGGAGCAAACAGGAUUAGAUACCCUUGUAGUC